rnacentral:rRNA from 1 species
UUUGAAAUCUGGCGCUCCGCGUCCGAGUUGUAAUUUGCAGAGGAUGCUUCCUGCGCGGUGCCUUCCGAGUUCCCUGGAACGGGACGCCAUAGAGGGUGAGAGCCCCGUACGGUCGGUAACCAAGCUCUGUGUAGCACCUUCGACGAGUCGAGUAGUUUGGGAAUGCUGCUCUAAAUGGGAGGUAAACUCCUUCUAAAGCUAAAUAUUGGCCAGAGACCGAUAGCGCACAAGUAGAGUGAUCGAAAGAUGAAAAGCACUUUGAAAAGAGAGUCAAAUAGCACGUGAAAUUGUUGAAAGGGAAGCGCUUGUGACCAGACUUGGGCCUGGUAGUUCAGCCGUCCUUCUGGGCGGUGCACUCUGCCGGUUCAGGCCAGCAUCAGUUGCCGGUCGGGGAGAAAGACAGUGGGAACGUGGCUCUUCGGAGUGUUAUAGCCCGCUGUUAUGCCUUUCCGGCGACUGAGGUUAGCGCAUCUGCACGGAUGCUGGCGUAAUGGUCAUCAGCGACCCGUCUUGAAACACGGACCAAGGAGUCAUCCUGGCAUGCGAGUGUUCGGGUGUUAAACCCUUACGCGUAAUGAAAGUGAACGGAGGUGAGAGCUUCGGCGCAUCAUCGACCGAUCCUGAUGUUCUCGGAUGGAUUUGAGUAAGAGCAUGUCGGGCUGGUCCCGAAAGAAGGCGAACUAUGCUUGGAUAGGGCAAAGCCAGAGGAAACUCUGGUGGAGGCUCGCAGCGGUUCUGACGUGCAAAUCGAUCGUCAAAUCUGAGCAUGGGGGCGAAAGACUAAUCGAGCCUUCUAGUAGCUGGUUUCCGCCGAAGUUUCCCUCAGGAUAGCAGUGCUGAUCUCAGUUUUAUGAGGUAAAGCGAAUGAUUAGGGACUCGGGGGCGCUAUUUUGCCUUCAUCCAUUCUCAAACUUUAAAUAUGUAAGAAGCCUUUGUUGCUUAAUUGAACGAAGGCAUUAGAAUGUACAGCACUAGUGGGCCAUUUUUGGUAAGCAGAACUGGCGAUGCGGGAUGAACCGAUCGCGAGGUUAAGGUGCCGGAGUGGACGCUCAUCAGACACCACAAAAGGUGUCGUCACAUCUUGACAGCAGGACGGUGGCCAUGGAAGUCGGAACCCGCUAAGGAUCGUGUAACAACCCACCUGCCGAAUGUGACGGCCCUGAAAAUGGAUGGCGCUCAAGCGUCCCACCCAUACCUCGCCCUCAGGGCAGAACUACGCCCUGAGGAG